CCGCGGGAUUAGAGUUUGAUCCUGGCUCAGGACGAACGCUGGCGGCGUGCUUAACACAUGCAAGUCGAGGGCACUUUGGGGGCAACUCUGGAGUGACCGGCGAACGGGUGCGUAACACGUGAGCGACCUUGCCUCGUGGUGGGGGAUAGCCGGCCCAACGGCCGGGUAAUACCGCAUAGGGUAGUUUCUUCGCAUGGGGAGACUAGCAAAGCCUUGGAGCAAUCCAAUGGCGCCACAGGGGGGGCUCGCGGCCUAUCAGCUAGUUGGGGGGGUAAUGGCCCACCAAGGCGACGACGGGUAGCUGGUCUGAGAGGAUGGCCAGCCACAUUGGGACUGAGAGACGGCCCAGACUCCUACGGGAGGCAGCAGUGGGGAAUCUUGCGCAAUGGCCGAAAGGCUGACGCAGCGACGCCGCGUGGGGGAGGAAGGCCUUCGGGUUGUAAACCCCUGUUGCCCGGGACGAAUGUGCAUUUUUGAAUGCAUUGACGGUACCGGGUGAGGAAGCACCGGCUAACUCCGUGCCAGCAGCCGCGGUAAUACGGAGGGUGCAAGCGUUGUCCGGAAUCACUGGGCGUAAAGGGCGCGUAGGCGGCUCAUAAAGGCUGUGGUGAAAGUUCGGGGCUCAACCUCGAAUCGGCCGUGGCGACUUGUGGGCUGGAGCACUGUAGAGGCAGGUGGAAUUCCGGGUGUAGCGGUGGAAUGCGUAGAGAUCCGGAAGAACACCAGUGGCGAAGGCGGCCUGCUGGGCAGUGGCUGACGCUGAGGCGCGACAGCGUGGGGAGCAAACAGGAUUAGAUACCCUGGUAGUCCACGCCGUAAACGAUGGGCACUAGGUGCUUGGGGGAGCGACCCUCUGAGUG
rnacentral:rRNA from 1 species